AACAGUUUUUCAACUGUGAGUCUGAAGCUGGAGGUCAAGACUGAAGGUGUGACUCUGGGACUCUCCCUGGACAAACCCAUCUUUCAAGCUGCCUGCCUUAGAAUAACAUCAAGACAAGGUUGGGAAGAAAUUCUCCAUUCAUUCUGGUGGACAGAGUGAUUUUGGAAAAGAAUUUCUCAUUCCAAGAGUUUCUACGGACUCUUCAACUGGAUUUCUGCUGCUUGACCCACCAAGGACUCUGUGAAUAUUGUUCAGGAGUGUUGGACUUCCCUUCCCUACCUGAAAAGCUAUCAGAAGCAGCUUCAGAUAAUUUGACUAAUAUCCAUUCACUUGUGCUCAAAGGAAUUUGGAUCCUGUUAACACUCCAUACAGGAUUUAAGAAUUCACCGGCUUGUGAUGAAUACCAAGAAACAUUGAAAAAGUCAUAUGAACUGAUUUAGAAUUAAGUAAGCAGAGUCAAGAAAACAAUAUAAUCAGAGACUACAAUGUAAACAGAAGGAAUUAUUACAAGCCAAAAAAGCAAAAAUAAAUGUAGCAAAAUUAUAGAGCUCCA
rnacentral:lncRNA from 1 species